rnacentral:rRNA from 1 species
GACGAACGCUGGCGGCGUGCUUAACACAUGCAAGUCGAACGGUGAAGCGCCUUCCUUUUUGGUGGGUGUGGAUGAGUGGCGAACGGGUGAGUAACACGUUAGUAACCUGCCCCCUUCUUCUGGAUAACCGCAUGAAAGUGUGGCUAAUACGGGAUAUUCUGGGUCUGUCGCAUGAUGGGUCUGGGAAAGAUAUUGUUUCGGUGGGGGAUGGGCUCGCGGCCUAUCAGCUUGUUGGUGGGGUGAUGGCCUACCAAGGCGGUGACGGGUAGCCGGCCUGAGAGGGUGGACGGUCACACUGGGACUGAGACACGGCCCAGACUCCUACGGGAGGCAGCAGUGGGGAAUAUUGCACAAUGGGCGCAAGCCUGAUGCAGCGACGCCGCGUGAGGGAUGGAGGCCUUCGGGUUGUGAACAUCUUUCGCCAGUGAAGCAGGCCUGCCUCGUUUGUGGGUGGGUUGACGGUAGCUGGAUAAGAAGCGCCGGCUAACUACGUG